CACGUAGGGUGCGAGCGUUGUCCGGAAUUAUUGGGCGUAAAGAGCGUGUAGGCGGCUUUACAGGUCCGUUGUGAAAACUCGAGGCCCAACCUCGAGACGCCGGUGGAAACCGUAAAGCUAGAGUCCGGAAGAGGAGAGUGGAAUUCCUGGUGUAGCGGUGAAAUGCGCAGAUAUCAGGAGGAACACCCGUGGCGAAAGCGGCUCUCUGGGACGGUACUGACGCUGAGACGCGAAAGCGUGGGGAGCAAACAGG
rnacentral:rRNA from 1 species